rnacentral:rRNA from 1 species
AACGAACGCUGGCGGCAUGCCUAACACAUGCAAGUCGAACGAAGCCUUCGGGCUUAGUGGCGCACGGGUGCGUAACGCGUGGGAAUCUGCCCUUGGGUUCGGAAUAACAGUUAGAAAUGACUGCUAAUACCGGAUGAUGUCUUCGGACCAAAGAUUUAUCGCCCAAGGAUGAGCCCGCGUAGGAUUAGGUAGUUGGUGGGGUAAUGGCCCACCAAGCCGACGAUCCUUAGCUGGUCCGAGAGGAUGAUCAGCCACACUGGGACUGAGACACGGCCCAGACUCCUACGGGGGGCAGCAGUGGGGAAUAUUGGUCAAUGGGCGAAAGCCUGAUCCAGCAAUGCCGCGUGAGUGAUGAAGGCCUUAGGGUUGUAAAGCUCUUUUACCAGGGAUGAUAACGACAGUACCUGGAGAAUAAGCUCCGGCUAACUCCGUGCCAGCCGCCGCCGUAACAC